UACGUAGGGGCCUAGCGUUGUCCGGAAUUAUUGGGCGUAAAGAGCUCGUAGGUGGUUCGGCAAGUCGGAUGUGAAAUCUCCACGCUUAACGUGGAGGGGCCAUUCGAAACUGCUGUGACUUGAGUCCGGUAGGGGAGUGUGGAAUUCCCGGUGUAGCGGUGAAAUGCGCAGAUAUCAGGAGGAACACCGGUGGCGAAGGCGGCCCACUGGAUCGGUACUGACGCUGAGGUGCGAAAGCGUGGGGAGCAAACAGG
rnacentral:rRNA from 1 species